GACGAACGCUGGCGGCGUGCCUAAUACAUGCAAGUAGAACGCUGAAGCGAGGAGCUUGCUCUUCUUGGAUGAGUUGCGAACGGGUGAGUAACGCGUAGGCAACCUGCCUUGUAGCGGGGGAUAACUAUUGGAAACGAUAGCUAAUACCGCAUAACAAUGGAUGACACAUGUCAUUUAUUUGAAAGGGGCAAUUGCUCCACUACAAGAUGGACCUGCGUUGUAUUAGCUAGUAGGUGAGGUAAUGGCUCACCUAGGCGACGAUACAUAGCCGACCUGAGAGGGUGAUCGGCCACACUGGGACUGAGACACGGCCCAGACUCCUACGGGAGGCAGCAGUAGGGAAUCUUCGGCAAUGGGGGCAACCCUGACCGAGCAACGCCGCGUGAGUGAAGAAGGUUUUCGGAUCGUAAAGCUCUGUUGUAAGUCAAGAACGGGUGUGAGAGUGGAAAGUUCACACUGUGACGGUAGCUUACCAGAAAGGGACGGCUAACUACGUG
rnacentral:rRNA from 1 species